rnacentral:ncRNA from 1 species
UCCGCUCUAACGGGGUGCCGGAAACCGGCUGAGAGGCCCCGAUGCGCUGAGAUUCAGGUCAGAGCGUGGUGAGAAGGGUGUUUUUCGAGAACCGGAGCGCAGUGUACUCCAGUACAUAAGCACCGGAAGCGCAGAAAAACGCCAUUCGCAGCCCGCCGUCACCUGAAUAUCAAUGCAUCGGCCAACCCGCAGAACCUGAUCCGGUUGAUACCGGCGGAGGGAUUAGACGCUGCCUUCUA